CUCAGAGCCGGAAAGCAAACAGCUGCUGUAGCCUGAUUUGAGUUAAAAUAGUGUGAGUGUUUAGUCUGGCGCACGGCUUCAGGGGAGAUUGGCAGCUGGGUCAAACAAAGUCCUUCCAUUGGCUCCCUUCCCAGGCAGCUUCUGCUAGUGUUUAGGUACUAGUGCAGUGUAGAACCCUUUUCUCAGGCAAAACCUAACAUCUGACCGCACCCUUUUUGCUAUUAAAAAAAAAAAAAAGCUUCUAUUUUUUUCCUCCUGUCGUUAAGAUAAAUUCUCCAGUAGACAACCUCUCCCACUAAUUGUGUAUUAGCAACGUAUUUUAUCUUGAGAGCUUGUACACUGGGCUCUCAACGUGGUGUGGAAGGUAGCCUGUUACAGUGCUGGAUUCAUAAAAGGGCCUUUAUGGUUUGUGAAAGAAUAUCUGUGUGCUUAGGGAGGAAACUUUUUGAUCUGCAGAAAAGCCAGAAGACAUCUAGGACAUCCAUAAAAAUUCAUCAGAGAGCAUUUUACUACUGAGCUGCAAAGGGAAAAACUUAAAAUGGAUAUGAAAAGUGAAGAAAGUGAUCAUAGGAGAAAACCAUUUCAGGUGUCUGAUGAUUUGUGAGCCUCAAGUGACUACUCUGUGGAAUCAUCUGUCCUUGCCUUUGAAUUAGCUUUCCCUAGGCCAUGAGUCAACAUUAGUAGUUUAUACAUCCAAAUUGAUGACAAGAGCACCUCAAAGGCAGCAGCCUCAAGGAGCAGCCAUGGCCCCAGACUUGUCGCACGGAUGCAGAAAACUUAAUGGAGGAGGCUGAGCAAAACAGAGCGUGACACUCCCAAUCAUCUGCAUGCUGGAAAUGAGGAAAUGGUUAUUGAAUGAUACAAGUGCUUUUCGAUCAUUUAGAAAGUUCUGUUUCCCAAGAUCUUUUUUUUUUUUUUUUUUUUUGAGACGGUGUCUUGCUCUGUCACCCAGGCUGGAGUGCAGUGGCGCGAUCUCGGCUCACCACAACCUCCACCUCCUGGGUUCAAGCGAUUCUCCUGCCUCAGCCUCCCGCGUGGCUGAGACUACAGGCAUGUGCCACCAUGCCCGGCUAAUUUUUGUAUUUUUAGUAGAGACAGGGUUUCACUAUGUUGGCCAGGCUGGUCUCAAACUCCUGACCUCGUGAUCCGCCCGCCUUGGACUCCCAAAGUGCUGGGAUUACAGUUGUGAGCCACUGUGCCCGGCCUAGCAAGAUCACUUUUUAAGUAUCCAGAAAGCUCUUUCUUAUGUUGAAUUAUGUCCAGAGGCAUAACUAGACUGAAGGUUUAGACUCCAUUCAUUCUCCUAUGUUUUUGUUCUUAACUGCAUUCUGCAGUCAAAUCAGGAGCUUUAGAAAAUACUGAUGCCUGGCUCUCAACCAGAGAGAACUGAACUGAAUUGGUCUGGUGAAUUCAUUAAAAGAGCUAACAACAAUGAAGUUAAUGUACGCAUCUCACCUCUCAAGAGUAUUAACAGGCCAGGCGUGUUGGCUCAUACCUGUAAUCCCAGCACUUUGGGAGGCCAAGGCGGGCGGAUCACCCAAGGUAAGUUCAAGACCAGCCUGACCAACAUGGUGAAACCCCGUCUCUAUUAAAAAUACAAAAUUAGCCAGGCAUGGUGGUGCAUCCCUGUAAUCCCAGCUACUCGGCACCUGAGGCACAAGAAUUGCUUGAACCCGGGAGGCAGAGGUUGCGGUGAGCUGAGAUCCUGCCAUUGUACUCCAGCGUGGGCAACAAGAAUGAAACUCUGUCUCAAAAAAAUAAAUAAAUAAAAAUAAGUAUUAACACAUGGGAAAUCAUAAAGUUUUCAUUCUGAGCAGUGUGUCUUUGAAUGUUUUGACCACGCAGAGAUGGGAUUAUCAUGGUAAAAUCCACUCUAUGGAUUUACCAUAAUCUUGGUGGUAACGUGUUAACAGAAGCAAUAUUUAUUAUGAGAGUUAAAGUUUCAUUUGGUUUAGGUUCAUAUUUUCUUUCUCCUGUCAGUCUGCAAUGGCUCCCUAACAUAAUUCCAGAGAGCAUAUGAUGUGCUAGGCUCUGUGUAGGGGACAGGAGCACAGUGGUAAACCAACGUAAAGAAAUUACAUUUUUAAAACUUUUUACAUUUUUAGGAAAUACAUGUUAGCUAAAAAACUGUGUUUUGCUCCCUGCUACGUUUGCUUAUCCUAUCCUUCAUUACUCCUUGGAUUUUAGUCUAACUGGUCUUGGGACAUGCCUCUUCCCCACAAACACCCCCACCACCAUACCACAUUGCUGUGACACAUUUAGCUUGUUAAUGUGGUAAGAGUGGAGCUCACUUACAGAAUUUUUGCAGACUAGACCUUAGGCUACAGGUCUUUACCAUGGAGCAGAAAAGUGGUAUCUCAAACCUCAUCCACAAAGGUUGAUCUAGUCCAAGCCCCUCUCCAGGUUCAUGUCCAUGUACAGCUUUGUUCUUAUUGUAACAACCUACAUUUUAGAAUAGGCAACGAAGACCAUUACCAAGAGCAGUAGGAGGGGCAACCUUCGGCUGUUUGUUUUUCAGGAUCUCAACUUGUGAACUUACUCUUCUCUUCACAGAAUGGGAUAACUGCCUGGCACUCACCAAGCUACACUUGAAGAGGAUCAAUCCAUGUCAUCAUGUCCCCAAUUUCAUAGCACCAAGUAUUUUGUUUAUUCACAAAUGCCCUAUUAUGGACAUCUAGCAAACAAUGAUACAUCAGAAAAGGAGAUGUGCAUAAAUUUUCAUGGAAUAAGGUUGUGGAAAAUGCACUAGAAUCAACAAACAUGGGGACUAAUUCAACUCGGAUAUCAUGUCUUCAGAGAAGUUUCUCCUGCCCUCCUCUCCCUGUAGAAUUAAGUAUUCUUCCACUGUGCCACCCUCUAACUUGUGCUCAUAUCUUCCUCUAUUGUAGUUAUGUGUUCACAUCCCUGUUGUUUUUGUACCGGCUUCUCCCAAAGGGAGACAUUUAGUCUUAUUCUUCUUGGUAACUUUAGCACAGACCUGGCAGAUUGUUGACACUCAACAAAUGUUUAUUGACUCAAAUGCAUUCAGUUGAACAUUGACCUUUGAUCAACUCUGGGAAAAGUCUGCAAAGCUAGUUAGGACAUUCAGAAAUUCAUUUCAUUUCAAUCCUAACUAAAUAAAUUAUUGAAGUCUCAGAACUUCUCAGUACUUGAUUUAGACACAUAGAAACUUGGGUAAAUAACACCUAUAUUGUUAUAUUCCUCAAGAAAAAGUUUAUCUUUUCAUGAAAUGAAUCUACUGAGGAUAUUUAUAGAAACUGAAUGUAAGUGAGCAGAAUAAAGUGGUGUGUGUGUGUGUGUGUGUGUGUGUGUAUGUAAUUUGAAGAGUAGGUGGGAGAAGGUUGUGAUAGGAUAGCAGAUCUUGUUUAUGAUAGUCACCAGCUAUAACAGACACUGCCUGAUGCCUUUCCAAUAUCCACUUCCCUUUUCUUUUUUUUCUUUUUGGAACAGAGUCUCACUCUGUCCCCCAGGCUGGAGUGCAACAGCACGAUCUCGGCUUACUGCAUCCUCUGCCUCCUGGGUUCAAGCAAUUCUCAUGCCUCAGCCUCCCUAGUAGCUGGGAUUACAGGCUCUCGCCACCACGCCCAGCUAAUUUUUGUGUUUUUAGUAGAGACGGGGUUUCGCCAUGUUGGCCAGGCUAGUCUUGAACUCCUGACCUCAGGUGAUCCACCUGCCUCAGCCUCUCUAAGUGCUGGGAUUACAGGCGUGAGCCACCGUGCCUGGCUCUCUUUUCUUACUUAAUGUCUGUGUCAAUUAAAUAGAAAUGUAUCAAGUUAAAAACCUUGCCUCGGUAGCUUCCAGUGCAAAUAAAGGUACCCAUGCCACCCCAUUCUGGCCAGCAGUAAAAUUGAUGGAAGCCUCUGGUUGGGGCUUCAAGGAAAGCUUUAUCAAAAGAUAAACUCACUGGCUUUGUCCCUUAGUUCAGUGGUCCCCAACCUUUUUGGCACCAAGAGACCAGUUUUGUGGAAGACAAUUUUUUCCAUGGACCAGGAGGGUUCCGGGGGAUGGUUUUGGGAUGAAAAUGUUUCACCUUAGAUAUCAUCGGGCAUUCAAUUCUCAUAAGGAGCCUGCAACCUAGACCUCUCACAUGUGCAGUUCACAAUAGGGUUCAUGCUCCUAUGAGAAUCUAAUGCCACUGCUGAUCUGACAGGAGGCAGAGCUCAGGCAGUAAUGCUCACUAGUUCCGUUGCUCGCCUCCUGCUGUGCAGCCCAGUUCCUAACAGGACACAGACCAGUACUGGUUCGCAACCCAGGGUUUGGGGGCCCCUGUCUUAGUUCCUUUGCCUUCCUUCCAGAUGGAUGCCUGGAGGAACAAUCAUCCCGCAAUUGUGAAAAUUGAAGCCAUAUUUUAAAGUUGGUUUCAAUUGUAAUACAGAAGAAAUCUGGACCUUGAUGACAUUUGAGCUAGAGUACUAAUCUUGAUCUUCCUAUUCAUGAGCUUGUUGCAAGAGACAAGACUUUUACUGAUUUAACUCAUUGUUGGGAUUUCUUGGAACUAAACACAGUCAUAAUACAUUUUUUCCUUCCCAGGAAAAUGGUAGAGCAUGACUUUUCAAAUCUAAUAAAACUCAUGUGUAGCUAAAACCACUCUACUGAAACAAUUCCAUCUCAGCCCAUGGUACAAGGGAUUUUCCUGAAUGAAAAAUGGUGUCUGAUCAUUUUGUUGGUUUCUUUGUUGGUUUUUCCUGAAACUUAGGGUUAAAGAAUCCAGGAAAGUUGUCUUAGAUAGAGUUAUAAUUUCCGUGGACAUCAACUGAUAAAUGCAAUUACAGUUUGUAUGCCUAGGUUUGGCAAAAAUCAUAUAAGCAACAUCCCUCACAUAAUAUUGUUUUAAUUAAAUUUUAUUUCUUUCUUGGUAUGAAACAUACUGCAGAAGCACAAUCAAUGAACAUUGGAUAGUUUCCUUAAAUCUUGCUCUUUGUCCUAUUUAUAUAAUUUAUUGUGUCAGUGGUUCUCAAGUGGUAUGCUCCUGCAACUCAUCAUCUGAAAAUCCUUCCCAGAUGUGCUGAAAAAUUUUCAUUAAUUUGUAUAUUCUAUUUUAUUUUUAUAACUAAGUACACAUGCUUGUGACUGGAAGAGAAGACACCCCUCAUUUAAUCCCAGAGGAAUAUUUGGCCUUGAUUCAUGCCCUGCUCACUCCACCCCAUUAUUAAGAUAGAGAUCGCUGAAGAAAUCCCUGCUCUAUAAAUGUAGCUGAUCCAAAAACAAAAUGGAAAUUCAUUAUUUUAAAUAUUUCUACAAGAUCUUUGUACAACUCUAUUUUUUUUUCCUAUUAAGAAUUACAUGAUUCUAGAAUAAGUUCCAACCCUAAGUAUCAACACUGGAACACAAUUUUAAAACAGGAGGCGAUUAUCUCUAUAGUGAGAUUUAACUACAGAGGUGAUAGCUCUGGUUAGUGAAUUUCAGGACUAGAAAUCAGGCCUGCUGUCUCUUAGCUUAGAGGAGGUAUAAUAAGAAGAGGAUUAGAACUACUGUGUAUAUUAACAAGAAGAACUCUAUUAUGUUCAGCUAUCAUUAUAUAUGAUAUUAUGUUUCUUUUUAUGAACUAUAGUUCACUGUCUUUAAGCAUAAUGUUUGCCCAAGGUGGGGGUGUUGGUGUGUGUCUGUGUGUAUAUGCAUGUGUGCACAUGUGUGUAUGUAUAGUUGAUUCAUUCAUUCUGACCUACUGAAUUUACUGAAGGAAUAAGAAGAAAUACCUUGAACUGAGGGACCUGGCUUAGCUCAACAUCUGUACCAUCUACCUUUGAGUAUCCAUUCCUUUACUAUGAAGCAUGGAUGCUAAAACUAAAAUUGCAUUUGCUAAACUACUUUGUAGCUAGAUUCCUGGGUGAGAUUAGAUUUGGUCAAUUAGAUGUUCUUGUGUAACAUUUAGAAGGUGAUAGUAAGGCAAAGGUCAUGUGACUGGCUGAUUUUAUUUAUGUUCAAUGAUCUUUAUUGGGGUACACUUUAUAUAUAAUAAUAAAUAAUGCACACAUUUUAAGUGUACAAUUUGAUGAGUUCUGACAAAUUUAUAUGCAUGUAUAACCAGCAUCAAUAUCAAGAUAUAUAAUGAUCCCCUCAUUCCAGAAUAGUCUCUUGUGUUCUUUCCAGCCAAUGCCCCACCCCUGGAUUCUGGCAACAAUUGAUCUGCUUUUUAUUACCAUGGAUUAUAUUUGUCUUUCCUAGAGAUACAAAUAAAUGAAAUAAUGUAGUGUGUCCUCUUUAACUUUGGCUUAUUUCUCUCGGCACACUAUUUCUGAAAUUUGUCCAUACUGUUGAUAUGGCAGACAGAAUUUUAAGAUGGUUCCUAAAAUUCUUGCCUCCUGGUAUGUAUAAUUUUCUCUCGGUUUUCCGCUGAACACUAACCUAGGUGCUAUUGUAAAGGGAUUUCUCAAGUGUAAUUAAAGUCCCUAAUAAGUUUAUUUUAAGUUAGAAAAAUUUUCCCAGGUGAGCUUGAGCUAAGUGAGUGACCUAAGCAGGUGAGUUGUUAGAAAAAAAUUAAGAGAUAUUUGAAGCGUAGACAAAAUUCUGUUGGCUUUUAAAAGAAAACUUCCAUGUGAUAGAGAAAGCCAGAUGAUAGGGAACACAAGGUUACCUCUAAAUUGACAACCAGCAAAAAAGCUGAGACUUCAGUCUUAUCAUCAUAAGGAAUUGAAUUCUGUCAACAGCCACGUGACCUUAGAGGAGGCCCCUGAGCCGCAGAUGAGAUCAUGGCCCUGGCCAAUACCUUAAAUUCAUCCUGGUGAGAUAUGAGCAGAGAACUCAGCUAUGCCAUGCUCAGAUUUCUCACCUGUAGAGCAGUAAAUUAAUAAGUGAGCAUUAUUUGAAGCUGCUAAGUUUGUGGUGAUUUGUUACACAUCAAGAGAAAACAUAUGCUGUAUAUAUUAUUAGAUUUUUCCUUUAUAUUGGUGGGUGUAUUUGUUAUCUAUUACUUCCUAACAAAUCGACAAUAAUUAAGUGUCUUAAGACAACACAUAUUUAUUACCUCAUAGUUUCUGUGGGUCAGAAAUCUGGGCAUGGUUUAUGUGAGUUCUUUGAUUUAAAGUUGUUGGCAAAUCUGUAAACAAGGAAGCAGUCAGGACCGAGGUCUCAUCUGAAAGUCAACUUGGGAUGGGUCUGCUUCCAGCCUCACUUAACAUAACAGCUGGCAGGAUUCAGUUGCUCUUGGGUAGUUGGAUUGAUGGCCUCAGAUAACUAGGUAGCUAUUAGCUAGAUUUCACCCUCAGUUUGUUGCCGUGUGGGCCUCCCUAAGGUGGCAAUUUACUUCAUCAAAACCAGCAAGGGAGAGAGUUGGCUACAAUCUCUAGUAAUGUAGCUACAGAAAUGACAUCCCCUUAGCAAUGAGAUAUUUUAUUAAUUAGAAAGAAAUUACUCAACAGGAGGGGAUUACACAAUGUAGUGAAUACCAGGAGGCUGAGAUCAGAAGGAGCUAGUGUAGAAGCUGCCUACCACAGUGAGUAGUAUUCUAUUACAUGAAUAUACCAGAAUGUCUGAAUCCACCCAACUGGGCAUAGACGUUUGUGUUCAUUCAAGAUACAGACUAUUAUUAUUUUAAAAAUAAAAGUUACUAUGAACAUUUAAGUAUAAGCUUUUGUGUGGGCGUGUUUCAUUUGUUUUGAAUGAAAUUGCAGGGUCGCAUAGAAAAUGCAUAUUUAAUCUUAUAAGAAGCUGCUUAAAAUGCUUUGCAAUGUGAUUUUACCAUUUUACACUCCCAACAAUGUAUAGCAAUAUAUCAUAGAUCUAGUGGUUUCAUAUCUCCACAAACACUUGAUAUUGUCACUCAGUUUAAUUGUAGCUACUUAAAUAGGCUUAUAAUGGUACUCGUUAUGAUUUUAAUAUGCAUUUCCCUAAUGCCUAUUAGGGACUAAUUAUGUUAAGCAUCUUUUCAUGUAUUUGGAGGCCAUUUGUGUACCUUCAUUUGUAAAAUAUCUGUUUAAGUAGCUUGCCCAUUUGGAUUGCUUUACAUUUUAUUAUAGAGUCAUAAGCAUCCUUUAUAUAUUCUGAAUAUAACUCUUUUAUCAGACAUACAUAUAUAUCAAAUAUUUUUUUCUAAGUUUGUGGUUUGUGUUUUUACUUUUUAUACUGUUUAUUGAAUAGUAGAUUUUAUAUUCAUUUUAUCCAUUCUGUUAUGAUCGAUAUUUUUUGAACUAUGAAAAUAUUGCUAUGUAAAAAUAAAAAAUAUAUUUUCAUCCCGAGUUUCAUAAUUUUAGCUUUCACUCUUAUAUCUGUGAUUCAUUCUGAGUUUUCUUGUAUAGUUUAAAGUCAGAGUGGGUGUUUGUUUGCUUAUUAAUAUAUUUAUAGAUAUUUCUAAUUCUUUCUAGCACCAUUUAUUAAAAAGUCUCUUUUUUUACCCAUUGAAUUAUUUUUUUUAAAUUGUUAUGUCUAAAAUCAAAUUACCAAAUACACAUUGUCUAUUUUGAACUAUUUAUUCUGUUUCAUUGAUUUUUAUGUGUUCCUUUACACCAAUAUCAUUGUCUUAAUUACUGUAGAUUUGUUGGAAAUAUGGGAGUCAAAUUUAAGGAUUUCAAUUUUGUCCUUUUAUCAAGUUGUUUUGGCUGUUCUAGGUCCUUUGCAUUUCCCUAUAACAUUUGGAAUUAGGUUGUCAAUAUUUCCCCAGAAUAAAGCCUGCUGGGAUUUUGAACAGGAUUGCAUGGAAUCUAUAAAUCAAUUUAGUGAGAAUUAAUAACAUAUUAAGUACUCUAAUUGAUGAACAUAGUAUCAUCUUCCAUUUAUUUAGUCUUUGACUUCUCGGAAAUGUUUUAUAGUUUUCAGUGUGUAGGUCUUGAAGUUUGUAAAAUUCUAAGUGUUUUAUGGUUUUGACUGUAAUUGUAAAUACCUCCCAUUGUUCAUUGUUAGUACAUAGAAAUAAAAUAAAUUUUGUAUUAAUUUGUCUCAUGCAAUCUUCUAUACUCACUUCUUUCCAAUAGUUUUAUGUGGAAUUCUUAG
rnacentral:lncRNA from 1 species